rnacentral:rRNA from 1 species
GACGAACGCUGGCGGCGUGCUUAACACAUGCAAGUCGAACGGAAAGGCCCUGCUUUUGGGGGGUGCGCGAGUGGCGAACGGGUGAGUAACACGUGAGUAACCUGCCCUUGACUUUGGGAUAACUUCAGGAAACUGGGGCUAAUACCGGAUAGGAGCUCCUGCUGCAUGGUGGGGGUUGGAAAGUUUCGGCGGUUGGGGAUGGACUCGCGGCUUAUCAGCUUGUUGGUGGGGUAGUGGCUUACCAAGGCUUUGACGGGUAGCCGGCCUGAGAGGGUGACCGGCCACAUUGGGACUGAGAUACGGCCCAGACUCCUACGGGAGGCAGCAGUGGGGAAUAUUGCACAAUGGGCGGAAGCCUGAUGCAGCAACGCCGCGUGCGGGAUGACGGCCUUCGGGUUGUAAACCGCUUUCGCCUGUGACGAAGCGUGAGUGACGGUAAUGGGUAAAGAAGCACCGGCUAACUACGUG